rnacentral:rRNA from 1 species
GGCUCAGGAUGAACGCUAGCGGCAGGCUUAACACAUGCAAGUCGAGGGGUAUAGGUUUUCGGAUCUAGAGACCGGCGCCCGGGUGCGUGUGGCGUAUGCGUUCUACCUUUUCCAGGGGAAUAGCCCAGACCCUUUUAGAUUAAUGCCCCACACCCUAUAUGAAUCGCAUGGUUUCAUUUGAUUGUUCCAACUGUAAAAGAUGAGCAUGCGCCCCAUUCNNNNNNNGGAAAUGGAACGGCUUCCCCCCACUAUGAUGGGUAGGGGUCCUGAGAGGGAGAUNNNNNNNACUGGCACUGACACUGAGACCAGACUCCUACUCCAGGCGGCGGUGAGGAAUAUGGAAAUAGGGGCGCGAGCCUGAUCCUGACCUGCCGCGGGCGCGAAAAAGCUUAUAGGGUGUGGAAACUGCUUUUGCACUUGAAGAAACCCUCCCUCGUGAGGGCUUUUGCCCGUACUGUAACAAUAAGGAUCGGCUAACUCCGUGUCCGCGCCCGCGGCCAUACAGAUGAUCCAGGCGUUAUCCGGAUUCAUUGUCUUUAAAGGGUCCGGGUGCGGUUGAAUAAGUCAGUGGUGAAAUCUGGUCCCUCAACGAUCACUCGGACAUUGAUACUGAUACACUUGAACUACUAUAACCUGACUAGAAUAUGUAGUGUAGCUGUGACGUGCUUAUAUAUUACAUGGAAUACCAAUUGCAAUUGCGGGUUACUACUCACUGCAUUGACGAUUGAUGCACGAAGCGCGUGGAGCAGCGAACAUCGAUUAGAUACCCUGACACUCCACGCCCUAAACCGAUAGAUACUAGAUUGUUGGGCUCUAGUACAGUGUCUAAGCGAAAGAGAUAAAUCUCCCACCUGGCGACUACGUUCGCAAGACUGAAACUCUGAGGCAUUGACGG